GCCGGGUGUGGUGGCACACACCUGUAAUCCCAGAGGCACAGGAGGCUGAAACAGGAGGAUGGAGAGUUCAAAGCCAACCUCAGCAAAAGCGAGGUGUUAAGCAACUCAGUGAGACCCUGUCUCUA
rnacentral:sRNA from 1 species